rnacentral:rRNA from 1 species
UACGAAGGGGGGCUAGCGUUGCUCGGAAUCACUGGGCGUAAAGGGUGCGUAGGCGGGUCUUUAAGUCAGGGGUGAAAUCCCGGGGCUCAACCCCGGAACUGCCCUUGAAACUGGAGAGCUAGAAUCUUGGAGAGGCGAGUGGAAUUCCGAGUGUAGAGGUGAAAUUCGUAGAUAUUCGGAAGAACACCAGUGGCGAAGGCACUCUACUGGGCCACUACUGACACUGAGAGACGAAAGCUAGGGGAGCAAAUGGG